rnacentral:tRNA from 1 species
GACCUCUCAUGCUUGCCCUCUGAUUUUAUCUUCAGAGCAAGCUUGAAAGCAUCUAUUUUUAUUCUCACUUACAAAUGAGGCUACCAAGGCUGAGAGAAGGCAAAUGGUUUUCCCAGGUUCAUACAACAUCUAUCAAGAGAGAAGACUGAGAUGGGGAAUACAAGGGUUUUUUUCCCUCCAGUUACAAAUGUUUUUUUUUGUUUGUUUUUUUUCUCCACAAUUUCUAGAAUGCUGUUUUGUUUUCAUUUUCCUACUCAGAGAAAUUGCCUAGUGAUUCCACCCUGAAACUCUUACCAGGAACAGGUACCUCUCAAGACCUUCCCAUUCCACAUCAGGGGUUCCCAAACAUCAGUGCACCUCAGAGUCUCCGGGAGGGCUUGGUGAACACACAGUACCAACCCCUCUUCACAUUCAGUAGGUUUGGUUGGGGCUGGAGAAUUUGCAUUUUUUUCCCAUUGAGAUAUACCUUCUAUACCAAAAAAAAUUAUUGAGAUUUAUUUUAAAUAAUAUAAAGAUCACCCAUAAACACAACUUAAUUAUUAAAAAAAAAACUUUACUUACGUCUACGACUAUCAGCACAGUCUAGUUUUAGAACAUUUCAUCACCCAACACAGAUCCUCUGUGCCUGUUUGAGGUCUCUCCCAGUUUCCACCCCUAAUCCUAUCAAACAUCAACUGGACUGCCAGCUAUCUCUAUAGAAUUGUCUUUUCUAGAUUUGUACAACAUGAUUUUGCAUCUUUUGUCUUUCUCAUCUAACCUCUCACAUGUUUUGUAAUUUUUUUGAGGUCUACCCAUGUUGUAGCAUGUAUCAGACCUUCACUCCUUGUUGCUGAAGAGUCUUCCAUUCAUUGCAUAGAUCAUAAUUUGAGUAUCUAUUCAUUGAGAAUGUACAUUUAUGACAAAUUCUUAGAUGAUUCUGAAACUGUUAUUCUGGCGAUUACAUUUUGAAAUCACUUUGUGAGAUCAACAGCUCUCAGUCGUAAAUUUCAAGAACCAUAGUUAUUAACUGUGGCUGCCUAUUGGAAGCUCCAGAGGAAAUUUUACAAAAUACUGUGUCUGGGCCUCAUCCAUAUUGUGAGUUGGUCUGAGGUAGGUUUCAGGAAUAAGUACUUUUAUAGAACUCCCUCGGUGAUUCAGACGUACAGCUGUGGCUGAGAACUACAUCUCUAAAUCCUUGCUACUGAAUGUGUGUGUCAUGGAUGAGCAGCAGCAGCAGCAACAUAAAACCUGGUAUCUUGUUGGAAUCUCUGACUGUUAAGUCCCACCCUAGAAUUCCUGAAUCAGACAGAAAAAUAUCAUUCUAACAUCCUCAAUUGAUUCCUAGACUCAUUGGGUUUUGAGAACUACUCUCUACAGCAGGGUCUAAUGCUGAGGAGCAGAAAAUAGGAAUGAAAAGAUGAUUUCACUUUCAGACCAAACAGUAAUGAGAUUUAAAAAUUUUUAAAAAAGGACUUGAACAGGUGGUUCUUUUCCUUUAGUCUGAAUUGCUGAGAUUAGCUCUUGCAUUGAUCAAACCAUGAGAUAAUUGCUGACCUUCCUCCCACUGCCUGUGGCUACAGAUGAACUUAGUGAGAGAGCUGGGUUAAACUGCUUGCUCUAAAUAGAUCUCAUUCCCUUUCCAGGGAGUGUGAAUGGGACAUACUAAUGAGUUUUAUCUGCACCCAUCCUAAUGAGGAUGUACUGGGAUUCAUCCAACAAUAUCUUAUCUGAAUUGCUGAAGCACUUUGGAUUUCAUGGGACCUCAACAUUUUGAUGAGAUUAAUUAAACCAGAUGAAUAUAACUGUUUAUUUUUGGUGAACCUGUUUAGUUCUAGGCAUGGGUAAGUAAGUACUAGGGUAUGGAGAUCAAGAUGAUGUAGAGUGUGCCUGGAGGGACUAGGUAUACUAAGGGAUACAGAGGCUCAAAGAGACUUGGUGCUCAGUGUGAUGAUAAUAAUGGAAGCCACAGAGCUUGGGAUGUAACUCAGUGAUAGAGUGCUUGCCUGGGAUGCAGGAGGUUUUGAGUUCAAUCCCCAGCAUGCCAAAAAAUAAAAUAAAAUAAAAUAAAAAUUAUGGAAGCUCCAGAAGAAAAGACAAUAACCAAUCUAGGGAAUAGAGUUUAGUCAGGGAUGGAUCCUGGAGGAGAUGAUCAUUGCAAUAAGGUUGGAUAGUUCGCAUAAUGAUUUAGGUUAUAGAGAUGAGAAAGGGGCAUUCAUUGGCAAAGGAAAGAACUAGGGAAAGGACCUAGAAAUAUGAAAACACUUGACAUCUUGCUUUUGUUUUAAGUUGAAAUUUUGUCUUAGAAUAUUGUUUUGGAUACAGGAGCUCAGAUUUGUAUAUUUUGUGGAGGGUCAGCAGAGGAAUUCAUGCUAAAUUUUGAACAUGAAGCAAGAAAUACUUUCAAAGCAGAGAACUUACGUCAGCUCGGUUUCUAACAAUGAAGCAGACUGCAAAAAGGGAAAGACUUGCACUGCUUUGAACCUGGGAGCUCUGGCAGAUGGGGAUCUAUUCAGGGUCACUAUGACUCUUCUCACCUGGGAUGGGAAGUCUGACAACUCUCUUCUGGAGUCUUGUGACAUGAGGAUACCCAAGAACAUGUUGUGGAAGAAACUGACAACCACUCAAAUGGAGAGUCCACCUCUGACACAAAGAAGCCCAAUGGGCAAAAGGAAGCCAGGCAGGGAGCUCUAGGUGUAUUCUCCAGAAGUGUAAAAUAUGAGAUAUAGCCAUGAGUUCAAAUCAGAUCUUGGAACUCACCAAAUAUGGCAAGAGUAUGAGUAGAGCAUCAAACGCCAGGUCAUGUUUGAUACAGAUUAUCAAUCAAUGCCAAUUUCCCUCCCUUCUGUAGCCCGUUUCUGUAGCAAGACUCUUAAAAUCGAACCCAGAUUCCAAUUUUCAUUUGCACUAUUCACCUUUACUAUAAUUUUGCUUAUUUUAAUAUUCUGACCUUAAAGAGAGGUCAGACUCUCCCAUUGUUGACUGUGGACUUCUGCAAUAGUCAACUAAAGAAAUGAAAUUUCCCUUCUCCUUCCCGUUCCUCCCUGCCUUUCUUCCAAGUCAAACAAACCCCACAGCAGCUGCCUGAAUAUUGAGGGCUUAAUCACAUUCAAAAUGAAUGGAAAGAAUUAACAUGCAAGGGAUUAUCUCAUUUCAAUCCUCAAAAUAACUCCACAAAGUAGAUAAUGACAUACUAUCCCCACUUUACAAGUUUAGAAACAUUGAGCAUGCAAUCUUGCCCAAGACCACCCAGCUGGUAAGUGGUAGACUGGUCUGUCCAAGUUUACCCUGGAUUAGGCUGCACUCAAUGAGACUGUUCUGCAUGCCAGCAACUCAGCCAACAAUGGAGAGACGCAUGUCCUAAGAUGCCCCAGGUGUGGUGGUGUUCAGGUUACCACCCUCAGAAACAGACUGUAAUGAUGUUGGGGGCAGCCCUGGGAUUGUGAAUUGUUGCCAUGAAUAUGAAUGGAUAUGAGUUUACUUUGGGUCUAUAACCUGAGGUCAGGCGGUCAAGGGCCUGCUUUGAAGGUGCCCACCUGAUGUUCCACAUGUCUCAUUUAGAAUUCCUACUGUGUUGUGGGAUCAAUGCAGGACUCCCAUCCAAGGAAGGGCACAUGAGUCACAGCUGCAGAACAAUUCCAUUUCAUUGGAUACCAGCAGGCAAUUUCACUUGAAAACAAAUUAUGCUUACGAAAGGGUUGGAUGAGUCCAUUGUGGACUACACUGCAGUGUAGUGUAGCAGGUUAUUUCUUGUCCUUAAUUACUCUGUCCUCUGGUGGGGACAGAAAAUAAGUUUAAUCCAUUACAUUCUGUUCUCCAAGUAGAGACCCCUUUAGUUACUACCACUUUUAAGAUACUCAUUUUGUUUGAAUGAAUGUGAUUGUUGUUUUAAAUUUGUAAAUUAAUAUAAUUAACGAAGAAAUUCUAACUGAAGUGUGG